GCCCCGCUCCUCCUCCCUGAGCGGGGUGUCCUGGCUACAGCAAGCCGGGAUGUUCGGCCCCGGACACUUUCCCCUUGUUUCCGGGGCUUUUUUU
rnacentral:ncRNA from 1 species